rnacentral:ncRNA from 1 species
AUAGCGAGGCCCUAUAAAUAGGGCCUCUAUCCAAAAAAAUGGGAGAGGAGAAACCGGAUGAAGAACUUAUGGGGAAACGUAAGCCUUCUCCGCG